ensembl:lncRNA
CGCGAGACUCGAGACGCCAAGCAGUCCGCGUCCUCUCUAUUCUCACAGCCUGCAAUUCAGACGUCCUGUACUCGUUUUUGAGAGUCUUCUGUGAUUUUAUACUGACGUCUGCUCCUUUUUGCACUUUUUACUUCGUCUUUAGCAGAUCGGCCGGAUUCCAAUCAUGGAAAGAAGACCAAAAGAUGCCGUGAGGUCUCGACGGCUGGAAGUCUAUUUUGGCACACAUGUAAUAGCUGAAUUGCUAAAUAUUCCUGCUUGGUUUUUCAGUGUUCGGCUCUCCACCGGAAGCCAUUUAUCUCCACUUAAGCGGGUCCCUGCUGAUGCAGCCGCCCGGGCGCCGGGGCCGGUACCGUCCUUUCAUGUGAUCUCACGUGAAAUGAAAACAUUUAUUACAUUAAAUACUACGCGGUGCAUUUAGCUACAUUAAUUCAAGUCCCUUUAGCUGAAUGCUGGAAACUAAUGAAGGGAAAUACAGUUUAAAUCUGAGCUCACAGCAAAUAACAUGAAGCUUUUAUACCUAACUGCAUUCUGUUUGUGUUGUUGUUGUUGUCGUUUGCACUCAUUCAAUCAAUUUGGUCCAUUUGGAGUCAAACCAAGGGGGGCGGGACUCACUAUGAUUGACAGAGCGUUGCCGUGGUACGUCCUUCCUCUGCCUUCCCGAUGCGGUAACCUCCGUUCACUGGUUGGAAAAGACCAAGAUGGCGGCCGCUGUAAUCCAAGAUGGCGUCGGCCAAGAGGAGGCUUCAGAACAGCGGUCCACAAACCAGCGGGCGGGGGGGGGGGACACGUCCACUUCUCACGCGCGUCUCGUCUUGUCAUGACGUCUCCUGGAGGCUCCUGGCUGCCUUGUCCUCCUCAGCUUCUCGUCCCUCACCAGACCUCGUCUCGCCGUGAGUCUCCUUGACCUUCAUUCGUCCACGCUGCGGCUGUUUGGGAACGCGCUGCCUGCGCAGGUCGCCCCGUCCGAGGGUAUUUUCGGCGGCGUGUUCUUCGAGCCCGCGUGGUUCCGGCACUCCGCUCUUCCUGUUUGUGCUGUGGAUGAGAAAGCGAUGUCACCGAUGGGGUUUGAUGUCUUACAAAGAACCGCGCGGCACGAUCACAAACGGCUCACCGUAAAAAACAAAAAAGCCUCCUUUUGAGCCCGGAGAGCACGAGUCCAUUUCCGGAUGGGUGAAAAAAAACAACAGAAUCAAAAUCUGCUGAAUCUGCUGGACCAAACGGAUCAAAAUGAAUAAAAAGAGGGCAUUUACUUUACAAUUCUGAAAACAUCGAAUGUCAUCAAAAGACCACAGGAAUGCGCAACUGUUUUUGUUGUUUCUGUCGUGUAGCAUAAAUGGGCUGCGUUGCGUUGUGUGUGUUGCAGAAUAAACGGUCGUGUAGAGCAUCGUACUCAGGGUACAAAUUACCAGAAGAGAAGGUCUCGUGAAAAAAUAUCUAAAGAAGAAAGACGAGGCCACCGAGGGGAAGGAGUAGCAGUCAACUGAUAUGAUUGUUCCAUUAUUGUGUAAAAGGGCCUCUAAUGAACACUUGAUUGUGAACGACGUUUUUUAUUGGGAAAAGGCUGAAGCAGCAUUGACAUGCAAUCAGUCGGAAGAUAUCCAAUUUAGCUUCCUUUGUCCGCUGCAAAGUGUGUUAAUCACGCUUACAUAUCUUCCAUAACUCGGGUUGUUCUCCAGCCUCGGAAACGUCAACAUGGGGAUGUGAUUUCUCUACGAUGAGAAGCAGCAAAUACUCAUCGUCAUUACGUUUGGAUCUAUUCGCAGAUCCAACAUGGAGCGAGUUUGACCCAUAACGAAUGAAUGGUUCAUGGCCGCUGCAGGGAAAUCUGAAUCGACGGGAUAUUUACUCAGUAUUCUUAUACUCGUACUUAACUAUUUCUAAUCUUCCUCUGUGGGGAUCUUUUAUCUUAAAAAUGUAAACAGCGCUUUCUUCUAUUUACUCACAAUGGAGCAAUUUAAACAUGUUGUGUUUUUACUUCUACUGUUGUUUUUCUAUCACCAUCAUUUCACUCUGUUUUCUUGUAUAAUUACUUUAUUCAGACUUGACUUUAAUAAAGAAAGACAUCUAAUUCUCAAUGUUUAUUCUUCCUGUAGUUACUCCGUAGCAAAUUUAAUUAAUCCUGCCCUCCAUCCCAAUCAUUUUCGAGGAGCUAAUGGAAGUCUGAAGAGGAAAAAAUAGCACGUUAGGAACGAGUGCAGCUCGGCCGCAUAAUUGUCAGGAUAUUUCUAUUAUUCGCAUCUGAUGGCAAAGUCUAUUUGCGGCCCGCAACAGAAACGUGUGGGGAGGAAACGAGUUUAACAGCCACUCUGCAGCCUUUGAGUCACGCAGAAAGCUCCGCUCGGCUGGGAUUGUCUUCGCCGUCUCUCCCGUUGCCUCAAAUCCUUCGUGCCGCCGGCCCGGGGAGGACAGAGAUCCGUCAGGGCCAUCGGACGCCGACAAUGGAGCGGCACAGUUUGGGGUCUGCGCCCGUUUAAGCGGGCUGUGAGAGGGUUAUGGAUGUGCCACGCCGUAUCGGAUCUGAGUCCGGUAUCUAAUCAACUCCUGUCCCCGCCAUGACGCCCGUUCACGAUGGAUUUCCAGUGCAGUGAAAAUAAUCAAUUCAUUUGGCGAGAGAAAUAGGAGGAAUCCCUGUUU